GAUGAACGCUGACAGAAUGCUUAACACAUGCAAGUCUACUUGAACUUCGGUUUGGGUGGCGGACGGGUGAGUAACGCGUAAAGAACUUGCCUCACAGUUAGGGACAACAUUUGGAAACGAAUGCUAAUACCUGAUAUUAUGAUUUUAGGGCAUCCUAGGAUUAUGAAAGCUAUAUGUGCUGUGAGAGAGCUUUGCGUCCCAUUAGCUAGUUGGAGAGGUAACGGCUCACCAAGGCGAUGAUGGGUAGCCGGCCUGGGAGGGUGAACGGCCACAAGGGGACGGAGACACGGCCCGUACUCCUACGGGAGGCAGCAGUGGGGAAUAUUGGACAAUGGACCAAAAGUCUGAUCCAGCAAUUCUGUGUGCACGAUGACGUUUUUCGGAAUGUAAAGUGCUUUCAGUUGGGAAGAAAAAAAUGACGGUACCAACAGAAGAAGUGACGGCUAAAUACGUG
rnacentral:rRNA from 1 species